GGGUUGUGAGGUUAAGCGACUAAGCGUACACGGUGGAUGCCCUGGCAGUCAGAGGCGAUGAAGGGCGUGCUAAUCUGCGAUAAGCGCCGGUAAGGUGAUAUGAACCGUUAUAACCGGCGAUACCCGAAUGGGGAAACCCAGUGUGAUUCGUCACACUAUCAUUAACUGAAUCCAUAGGUUAAUGAGGCGAACCGGGGGAACUGAAACAUCUAAGUACCCCGAGGAAAAGAAAUCAACCGAGAUUCCCCCAGUAGCGGCGAGCGAACGGGGAGGAGCCCAGAGCCUGAAUCAGCAUGUGUGUUAGUGGAAGCGUCUGGAAAGGCGCGCGAUACAGGGUGACAGCCCCGUACACAAAAGCGCAUGUGCUGUGAGCUCGAUGAGUAGGGCGGGACACGUGGUAUCCUGUCUGAAUAUGGGGGGACCAUCCUCCAAGGCUAAAUACUCCUGACUGACCGAUAGUGAACCAGUACCGUGAGGGAAAGGCGAAAAGAACCCCGGCGAGGGGAGUGAAAAAGAACCUGAAACCGUGUACGUACAAGCAGUGGGAGCNNGUGACUGCGUACCUUUUGUAUAAUGGGUCAGCGACUUAUAUUCUGUAGCAAGGUUAACCGAAUAGGGGAGCCGGAGGGAAACCGAGUCUUAAUUGGGCGUUAAGUUGCAGGGUAUAGACCCGAAACCCGGUGAUCUAGCCAUGGGCAGGUUGAAGGUUGGGUAACACUAACUGGAGGACCGAACCGACUAAUGUUGAAAAAUUAGCGGAUGACCUGUGGCUGGGGGUGAAAGGCCAAUCAAACCGGGAGAUAGCUGGUUCUCCCCGAAAGCUAUUUAGGUAGCGCCUCGUGAAUUCAUCUCCGGGGGUAGAGCACUGUUUCGGCUAGGGGGCCAUCCCGGCUUACCAACCCGAUGCAAACUGCGAAUACCGGAGAAUGUUAUCACGGGAGACACACGGCGGGUGCUAACGUCCGUCGUGAAGAGGGAAACAACCCAGACCGCCAGCUAAGGUCCCAAAGUCAUGGUUAAGUGGGAAACGAUGUGGGAAGGCCCAGACAGCCAGGAUGUUGGCUUAGAAGCAGCCAUCAUUUAAAGAAAGCGUAAUAGCUCACUGGUCGAGUCGGCCUGCGCGGAAGAUGUAACGGGGCUAAACCAUGCACCGAAGCUGCGGCAGCGANNGUUGGGUAGGGGAGCGUUCUGUAAGCCUGUGAAGGUGGCCUGUGAGGGUUGCUGGAGGUAUCAGAAGUGCGAAUGCUGACAUAAGUAACGAUAAAGCGGGUGAAAAGCCCGCUCGCCGGAAGACCAAGGGUUCCUGUCCAACGUUAAUCGGGGCAGGGUGAGUCGACCCCUAAGGCGAGGCCGAAAGGCGUAGUCGAUGGGAAACGGGUUAAUAUUCCCGUACUUGGUGUUACUGCGAAGGGGGGACGGAGAAGGCUAUGUUGGCCGGGCGACGGUUGUCCCGGUUUAAGCGUGUAGGUGUGUGUUCCAGGUAAAUCCGGUUCACUUUAACACUGAGGCGUGAUGACGAGGCACUACGGUGCUGAAGUAACAAAUGCCCUGCUUCCAGGAAAAGCCUCUAAGCAUCAGGUAACAUCAAAUCGUACCCCAAACCGACACAGGUGGUCAGGUAGAGAAUACCAAGGCGCUUGAGAGAACUCGGGUGAAGGAACUAGGCAAAAUGGUGCCGUAACUUCGGGAGAAGGCACGCUGACACGUAGGUGAAGUGAUUUACUCAUGGAGCUGAAGUCAGUCGAAGAUACCAGCUGGCUGCAACUGUUUAUUAAAAACACAGCACUGUGCAAACACGAAAGUGGACGUAUACGGUGUGACGCCUGCCCGGUGCCGGAAGGUUAAUUGAUGGGGUCAGCGCAAGCGAAGCUCCUGAUCGAAGCCCCGGUAAACGGCGGCCGUAACUAUAACGGUCCUAAGGUAGCGAAAUUCCUUGUCGGGUAAGUUCCGACCUGCACGAAUGGCGUAAUGAUGGCCAGGCUGUCUCCACCCGAGACUCAGUGAAAUUGAACUCGCUGUGAAGAUGCAGUGUACCCGCGGCAAGACGGAAAGACCCCGUGAACCUUUACUAUAGCUUGACACUGAACAUUGAGCCUUGAUGUGUAGGAUAGGUGGGAGGCUUUGAAGCGUGGACGCCAGUCUGCGUGGAGCCGACCUUGAAAUACCACCCUUUAAUGUUUGAUGUUCUAACGUGGACCCGUGAUCCGGGUUGCGGACAGUGUCUGGUGGGUAGUUUGACUGGGGCGGUCUCCUCCUAAAGAGUAACGGAGGAGCACGAAGGUUGGCUAAUCCUGGUCGGACAUCAGGAGGUUAGUGCAAUGGCAUAAGCCAGCUUGACUGCGAGCGUGACGGCGCGAGCAGGUGCGAAAGCAGGUCAUAGUGAUCCGGUGGUUCUGAAUGGAAGGGCCAUCGCUCAACGGAUAAAAGGUACUCCGGGGAUAACAGGCUGAUACCGCCCAAGAGUUCAUAUCGACGGCGGUGUUUGGCACCUCGAUGUCGGCUCAUCACAUCCUGGGGCUGAAGUAGGUCCCAAGGGUAUGGCUGUUCGCCAUUUAAAGUGGUACGCGAGCUGGGUUUAGAACGUCGUGAGACAGUUCGGUCCCUAUCUGCCGUGGGCGCUGGAGAACUGAGGGGGGCUGCUCCUAGUACGAGAGGACCGGAGUGGACGCAUCACUGGUGUUCGGGUUGUCAUGCCAAUGGCACUGCCCGGUAGCUAAAUGCGGAAGAGAUAAGUGCUGAAAGCAUCUAAGCACGAAACUUGCCCCGAGAUGAGUUCUCCCUGAGACUUAGAGUCUCCUGAAGGAACGUUGAAGACGACGACGUUGAUAGGCCGGGUGUGUAAGCGCAGCGAUGCGUUGAGCUAACCGGUACUAAUGAACCGUGAGGCUUAACCUUACAACGCCGAAG
rnacentral:rRNA from 1 species